UUGCAAAAAAAAAAAAAAAAAAAAAAAAAAGGUACGUAUUCUGCAAUAUGGCUAAACCUUUUCCUGAUUGAGAGUUAAAGCAAUAGGAGUCAAGUUACUGGUGCCACAGAUCUGGAGGUAUGAUAGGUCAGGGGCUGGGUGUUGAACUUAGUUAAUGGAAGACUGAGAGCAGAACAGGUUUGUCAUCUCCACAAGGCCAGAAAGUGAUCACAAAAAGAGGCAGAUGAUAGACACUGGGGUAGGGUCAUACCACAGGGAAAUACCUUUCCUGGGCUUGUUUUCUAGCAUAUCGCUGACCUGGGAUCUUUGGGUGAUCAAGGGUGUGGUUAGUGGAGGCUCUGUGUUGCAUGUAUGCAGUAUCCUAUCUCUUUCUACAUCAGAUCAAAACACUAAGUUGGUGUACUGCCUCGACCUUUUUUCAGCUCAUCCUGGAACAUAUACGGGGUUGAGAGUUUUAGACAAUCUCUAGGUAGAGGAGACAAGACGUAGACCUAGACAGAAGAAAUCUGCUUCCCUACUAUGCCUAUUCCAGCACCCCAACCUGUAAUUCCCAAGUCCUCUAAGGUACUAAUUUGUAGCUGCUCUGAAGUAAGGAUUUCAGAUUCAGCUGGUAGGGAAAGACUGCACCUGCUGUCUUAGGGAAGAAAUGAUUCAAAUCCAUGUGGUGACAUUGCAUUAGUCUCCCUUUCACUGUUUUCUUAUUCUAUAAUUGUUUGUUAUAUUUCCCAAAAACGUCUUGAUCACUAAGCAAAGCUGCUAGUGGGAUUCUAUGUUUCGUGUCAUCUUUUUUAUUAUAAUUUAUUGCAGAUUUUUUUCUGAAUAAAUAUAUGUUGUGUGAAAAAGCAAA